UACGGGGGGGGGCAAGCGUUGUUCGGAAUUACUGGGCGUAAAGCGCGCGUAGGCGGCUUUGCAAGUCGGGUGUGAAAUCCCCAGGCUUAACCUGGGAACUGCAUUCGAGACUGCAUUGCUAGAGUAUGGGAGAGGGAAGUGGAAUUUCCGGUGUAGCGGUGAAAUGCGUAGAUAUCGGAAGGAACAUCAGUGGCGAAAGCGACUUCCUGGACCAAUACUGACGCUCAUGUGCGAAAGCGUGGGGAGCGAACAGG
rnacentral:rRNA from 1 species